rnacentral:misc_RNA from 1 species
GCAUCACUGGCAGGAAUGGUCCUUGUGUUGGUUGGUUGUGUCCCGCCUGCUGGAGCAUUGUUCCAUGGAUUUGGAAGCGGGUUGGUAUUUGGUGCAGGGGACCCAGUUGAUGCAUCUGAGCCCGCAGUCUGAGUGUUUGACAAAUGAUCCCUUGACGGAGUGGUGCCCUGGUUUCCCAAAAGAGCCGCAAACGGAUUUAACCCUGACCCAUUUCCUGCA